rnacentral:tRNA from 2 species
GCGCCCGUAGCUCAACUGGAUAGAGCGACAGACUUCGGAUCUGUAGGUUAUGGGUUCAAUUCCUAUCGGGCGUACCA